GAUGAACGCUGGCGGCGUGCCUAAUACAUGCAAGUCGAGCGAACGGACGAGAAGCUUGCUUCUCUGAUGUUAGCGGCGGACGGGUGAGUAACACGUGGAUAACCUACCUAUAAGACUGGGAUAACUUCGGGAAACCGGAGCUAAUACCGGAUAAUAUUUUGAACCGCAUGGUUCAAAAGUGAAAGACGGUCUUUCUGUCACUUAUAGAUGGAUCCGCGCUGCAUUAGCUAGUUGGUAAGGUAACGGCUUACCAAGGCAACGAUGCAUAGCCGACCUGAGAGGGUGAUCGGCGACACUGGAACUGAGACACGGUCCAGACUCCUACGGGAGGCAGCAGUAGGGAAUGUUACGCAAUGGGCGAAAGCCUGACGGAGCAACGCCGCGUGAGUGAUGAAGGUCUUCGGAGCGUAAAACUCUGUUAUUAGGGAAGAACAGAUGUGGAAGGAAAUGUGCACAUCGUGACGGUACCUAAUCAGAAAGCCACGGCUAACUACGUG
rnacentral:rRNA from 1 species